rnacentral:rRNA from 1 species
AUUGAACGCUGGCGGCAGGCCUAACACAUGCAAGUCGAACGGUAACAGGAAACAGCUUGCUGUUUCGCUGACGAGUGGCGGACGGGUGAGUAAUGUCUGGGAAACUGCCUGAUGGAGGGGGAUAACUACUGGAAACGGUAGCUAAUACCGCAUAACGUCGCAAGACCAAAGAGGGGGACCUUCGGGCCUCUUGCCAUCGGAUGUGCCCAGAUGGGAUUAGCUAGUAGGUGGGGUAACGGCUCAUCUAGGCGACGAUCCCUAGCUGGUCUGAGAGGAUAACCGGCCACACUGGAACUGAGACACGGUCCAGACUCCUACGGGAGGCAGCGGUGGGGAAUAUUGCACAAUGGGCGCAAGCCUGAUGCAGCCAUGCCGCGUGUAUGAAGAAGGCCUUCGGGUUGUAAAGUACUUUCGGCGGGAGGAAGGGAGUAAAGUUAAUACCUUUACUCAUUGACGUUACCCGCAGAAGAAGCACCGGCUAACUCCGUG